UCUUGCUUUACAUGUGAUUUCAGAGGCACAGGAGCAAGGAGGUUAUCUAUAGAUGCUAAUUUUUGCCCCUGAUGAUAAUGUCUAUAUUGUUUUUGGGGUUGUAAUGUGACCAUAACCCCUAUAGUUGUCAACUUGUCAAUAUGUUAUUGUCAAUCACAAGAGGCAUUUGCUUUAAUCUCCCUCCCUUUGAUUUUCUGUAUACAUUGUGAUAAUACAGUGGAUGCAUUCUUUUCUGUUGUAACACCGAAUGAAUGCCUAUCCCAGUGUCAGUGUCUUGUAACUCAAUUAUGACUUGGAAGUGGCAAAUCACUAGAUAAAUAUCUCUACUUCCUCAUUAAUCACUGUUUCUGCACUGCAGCAACAAUUUGUAGUUGCUAGCACCUAGCUAGUUUCCAGUUGUGAACAGGUUGUGUUCUGUUUUCCACUUCUCUUAUCCUUUUGGCAGAGAGAGAAGUAAGAGGUAUAAUGUGUAUAAUUUAAAUUUUGUACUACAAGUAUCUUGGUGGGCUAUAUCAACAUUUCAGGCUUAAUUUAUGCUAUUUUGAUCAUAAAAAUGAAGUUACCACAAUUAAUAACAUCAUAAUACCGAAGAUAAGUAAGAAGGGCUGUCUGUUUACUACUAUGAUGUAUUUGUAAGGAAUCUAUGUUAAGGAUUUUGUAGUUAGUUUAUGCUUGCAUUCAUAUCUUCAUUUCAUGCAGGCUACUGUGUAUUUGUUGAUGCUGAGCAUGCUCUCAAUAAGGCACUUGCAGAAUCCAUUGGUGUGAAUACUGAAAACUUGUUGCUUUCACAACCAGAUUGUGGUGAACAAGCACUUAGUCUUGUGGAUACCUUAAUCCGUAGUGGUUCAGUUGACGUAAUUGUUGUUGACAGUCCUAAACCCCGUGCAGAUUCCUGGGCAAGCUGAUAUUCGACAAGCAGAAGGCGGUCCGAACCCCGGUUCCAUGAAUUCAUUCAAUUCUAUGUUAUUAUGGAUCUUAGGAGGUGCUUCAUCUGAGGGUCUCAACUCGUUUUUUUCAAUGUUCAGAGAUGUUAGAGACCAGGGACAAGUUUUUGCUGAAACUCCUCACGAUGAAAACCGUGAGAAUCAGGAUAAUGACAGAUAGUGGUAGAACAUUAGAUUUUGAUCAUAAGUACUUGUUAAUACUUAAUAUAGGAAUAUUGUACGGCAUAUCAUAUAGGUGACUGAACUUUCUCUCUCUUUGGUCCAAAUGAAAAUAAAACUAACGAAAAAGAAUGUGUAUAUAAUGUAUAUGUAUAUUCUUUAUAGCUUUUUUUUUCUUUCUUAAA